GGCAACAGAUUGAAGCGUGGAAGCGUAAACAAGAGAGGGUUAUUUAAGUUACAGCAAGGAUAUGGUUAAUACUUGUGUUGUGUGGGGUUGUAACAACCGGUCAGUGAGUGGAGAUGAAAACAGACGCUUUUAUGACAUUCCUAAAAUUGUAAAACAUCAAGGAAAGCAGACGGAAGAGUUGUCAGCUGAGAGGAGAACACUUUGACUGGCGCGGAUCAACAGAUCAGAUUUCAACCCGAGAAACGUCAUUUUAAAGUCUGUUCAGAUCACUUCGUUUCAGGAACAAAGGCUGAACUCUAUGACAAGACUAUUUAAAACCUGACUUGGCACCCUCUCUUAAGUUAGGACCUGUGGAACAAGAUCCAUCGAUGACUUUAUCAACAAAGAAGAAGUACGAGAGAGCCCAAAGCCGUGAUGCACGAAAA